GGCGCGGGGCGGGCGCAGGAGCCGGCGUGACUCAGGCUGGGGCUCUAGCGCCUUUGUUCCCAGGCCGCACGGCCUUAAAGGGCCAGCGCCCGCCCGAGGCAGGAGCGCGCGCCCCGCGACCGCCCGCCGCCCUCAGUGGGGUUGCCCGCGGGCUCCCGGCUGCCGGCACAAGAGGGGCAUCCUGCAGGAUUUAGGGGUUCAUCCAGUCGAAUCCUCAGACCAUAAGCGAGGCCCUGGGUCAUCACAACCAUCCCUUUGCCUCAGGGCUGGGCUGCACCUAAACCGGCCAAGAGGAAUUAAGAAAACCCUUUCCCUGCUUUAGAAAGAUGCUACCACGGGGGACCCCUUCUAGGCAGCCUCUUUUGGGGUCUAACAGCCAUCUGUCUUCUAACCAGUCCCCACCCUGUAGGUGUUCUGGAAGCCCUCCCUCGGUGACCCCGCCAUCCUGGCCCCUAUCAGGACUGGGCUAUUUGAACCCUCCCUCAUUUGACACAUGUUUAGUGGGUUCUAGUCCAGGAAGCCCAGCCCCGGGAGAAGCCUGCCCAGCAGCCUGAACCACGGUGCCACCAAGAGCAGGGGAGACAGCAUGCUGGAUAUGGCCUUCCUCAUGUCCAAUGCCACAAGGCUCUCAUCACUACACCAUCCUCACCACCCUCAUCGGCAUCUCUCUGCUCCAGAAGGUGGUCAUUGGAAUCCUCCUCGUGGUCACUGGUUCUAGGUCUGCUUCCUCCUUUCCCCUUGGACCCCCCGCCCCCAUCUGCCGGGCUGCUGGGCACUUUCCCCACCCUCUGGGAGAGCUCCUGAAAGGGCAAUGUAGAUGCCCUUGCUUCUCACCGCCAGCACCGAAAUGAAGAUGGGACCUUUUACUGGCUUAAGUGAAUCCCGCUCAGGUUGCAGUCCUGAGCUCAGACUGGGGUACUGCCAACCCUCCUCCUGGCAGAUCUCCUGCCCUCGAGGUGUGCCUAUCUAAGGCUUCAGACUCCACCCUGUUCCCUCCCUCAGCUCCAGGCCUCCUUGCCCUUUCUGAAGAAUGGCAUGCUUUCUACCUAAAAAGAUUGCUGCAAAUCACUGUGAGUCAAUCAUUCUGUCUCCAAUUGUGAAGGCUCAGGCAUCUGGGCAGCUCUCUCCAUCUGG
rnacentral:lncRNA from 1 species